GACCACCUCUCCAAGUAAUUCAGCAAGUAAAGCUCAAAACAUAAAUCUGAACAGAUCUGAUCAAAAGCGUGAACAUGGAGAAACAUCUACUACUGAUUGUCAUAACAGUAUCAGGUGUAUUUCCUGACAGCAUUGGACCAAAAGACAAGGACACAAUAAUCAGUAAAGAAGGAGAGUCUGUGACUCUGAGCUGCUCAUACAGUACAAUCGCCAAUGAGAUCUUGCUUUACUGGUUCAGACAGUAUCCAAACACAGAACCUCAGUAUUUACUGCUCAAAGGUGCUCGAUUGUGGAACCGUGAGGAGAACAUACCAGACCAACGGUUUAAGUCGACUACAUCCCAGUCAUCCACUGAACUCACUAUUGAUAAAGCAGCUCUGUCAGAUUCAGCUCUCUAUUAUUGUGCUCUAAGAGUUGUACCCCAGUGUUACAAGUGCCUGAGAGGCUUUACAAAAACUCACACACAGAAAUGUUGCUUUGAAAGUCAGUAAUCAAAUGUAAAUCAAACCACUUUUGAAAACCACAGAGACUUAAAUAACAGAAAGUGGCAACACCUGCUGAACAAACAGAACUGAAGUCAUUGUUAUCCUGUGGUUAUGUUAUGCAGAGCAAA